rnacentral:rRNA from 1 species
UACGGAAGGCAGCAGUGGGGAAUAUUGCACAAUGGGCGAAAGCCUGAUGCAGCUAUGCCGCGUGUAUGAAGAAGGCCUUAGGGUUGUAAAGUACUUUCAUCGGGGAGGAAAAAACAAAACUAAUAAUUUUAUUUCUUGACGUUACCCGAAAAAGAAGCACCGGCUAACUCCGUGCCAGCAGCCGCGGUAAUACGGAGGGUGCUAGCGUUAAUCAGAAUUACUGGGCGUAAAGAGCACGUAGGUGGUUUUUUUAAGUCAGAUGUGAAAUCCCUGGGCUUAACCUAGGAACUGCAUUUUGAAACUGAAAUACUAGAGUAUCGUAGAGGGAGGUAGAAUUCUAGGUGUAGCGGUGAAAUGCGUAGAUAUCUGGAGGAAUACCUGUGGCGAAAGCGGCCUCCUAAACGAAUACUGACACUGAGGUGCG